GGACAUGGCGGGUGCUUACCAUGCAGUCGAACGAGAAAGCCCCUUCGGGGGUGAGUAGAGUGGCGAACGGGUGAGUAACGCGUAAGAAUCUACCCAUUAGUGAAGAAUACCUUCGGGAAACCGGAGUUAAUACUGCAUAAGUCCCUUCGGGGAGAAAGGCGGCCUCUUGCUGCCGCUGAUGGAUGAGCUUGCGUACUAUUAGCUUGUUGGUGAGGUAAAGGCUCACCAAAGCUAUGAUGGUUAGCCGACCUGAGAGGGUGAUCGGCCACAUUGGGACUGAGAUACGGCCCAGACUCCUACGGGAGGCAGCAGUGGGGAAUAUUGCACAAUGGGCGAAAGCCUGAUGCAGCGACGCCGCGUGGAGGAUGACGGUCUUCGGAUUGUAAACUCCUGUUAAGAGGGAAGAAAGGCGGAUGGCUAAUAUCCAUCCGAGAUGACGGUACCUCUAGAGAAAGCUCCGGCUAACUUCGUGCCAGCAGCCGCGGUAAUACGAAGGGAGCGAGCGUUAUUCGGAAUUACUGGGCGUAAAGGGCGUGUAGGCGGUUUACUAAGUCAGUUGUUAAAGCCCGUGGCUUACCCACGGAUCGGCAAUUGAUACUGGUAGACUAAGAGGGCAAGAGAGAGAAGUGGAAUUCUCGGAGUAGCGGUAAAAUGCGUAGAUCUCGAGAGGAACACCGAUGGCGAAGGCAGCUUCUUGGCUUGUACCUGACGCUGAGGCGCGAAAGCGUGGGGAGCAAACAGGAUUAGAUACCCUGGUAGUCCACGCCGUAAACGAUGAUCACUAGAUGUUGGUUUUGCUUAGCGAGAUCAGUGUCACAGCUAACGCGUUAAGUGAUCCGCCUGGGGAGUACGGUCGCAAGAUUAAAACUCAAAGGAAUUGACGGGGGUCCGCACAAGCGGUGGAACAUGUGGUUUAUUCGACACUACGCGAGGAACCUUACCUAGACUUGACAUGUAGUGACCGCUAUAGGAUAUAGUUUUCUGGUUUACUAGACACUUACACAGUGCUGCAUGGCUGUCGUCAGCUCGUGUCGUGAGAUGUUGGUAAGUCUUUACGAGCGCCACCCUACUGUUAGUGCUAGCCUCGGCGCACUCUACGACUGCUGGCAACAAGAGAAGGUGGGAUGACUUCAAGUCUCAUGCUUAUGUCUAAGGUACACGUCAUGCCGAUACCGGGAGCAACCCAGGGUGGA
rnacentral:rRNA from 1 species